rnacentral:rRNA from 1 species
GAUGAACGCUGGCGGCGUGCCUAACACAUGCAAGUCGAACGGAGUCCAGCCUUUAAGACCUUCGGGUCAAAGGGGGGAAGACUGAGUGGCGGACGGGUGAGUAACACGUGGGCAACCUGGCUCAUAGAGGGGGAUAACAGAGAGAAAUUUCUGCUAAUACCGCAUAAGCACACACUGCCGCAUGGCAGAGGGUGAAAAGAGAAUCGCUAUGAGAUGGACCCGCGUCUGAUUAGCCAGUUGGCAGGGUAAGAGGCUACCAAAGCGACGAUCAGUAGCCGAUCUGAGAGGAUGAACGGCCACAUUGGGACUGAGACACGGCCCAAACUCCUACGGGAGGCAGCAGUGGGGGAUAUUGCACAAUGGGGGGAACCCUGAUGCAGCGACGCCGCGUGAGUGAAGAAGUAUUUCGGUAUGUAAAGCUCUAUCAGCAGGGAAGAUAAUGACAGUACCUGAAGAAGAAGCCCCGGCUAACUACGUG